rnacentral:rRNA from 1 species
GAUGAACGCUAGCGGGAGGCUUAAUACAUGCAAGUCGAGCGGUAAGGUUUUCGGACCCUAGAGCGGCGAACGGGUGAGUAACGCGUACGAAACCUACCUUUAAGAGAGGAAUAGCCCUGGGAAACUGGGAGUAAUGCCUCAUAGUAUUCAUUUACCGCAUGGUUUAUGGAUUAAAGUUCCAACGGUAUAAGAUGAGCAUGCGUCCCAUUAGUUAGUUGGUAAGGUAACGGCUUACCAAGACGAUGAUGGGUAGGGGUCCUGAGAGGGAGAUCCCCCACACUGGUACUGAGACACGGGACCCAGACUCCUACGGGA